rnacentral:rRNA from 1 species
AUUGAACGCUGGCGGCAGGCCUAACACAUGCAAGUCGAGCGGGGUUUUCGGACCUAGCGGCGGACGGGUGAGUAAUGCGUAGGAAGCUACCCGAUAGAGGGGGAUACCAGUUGGAAACGACUGUUAAUACCGCAUAAUGUCUACGGACCAAAGUGUGGGACCUUCGGGCCACAUGCUAUCGGAUGCGCCUACGUGGGAUUAGCUAGUUGGUGGGGUAAUGGCUCACCAAGGCGACGAUCCCUAGCUGGUUUGAGAGGAUGAUCAGCCACACUGGAACUGAGACACGGUCCAGACUCCUACGGGAGGCAGCAGUGGGGAAUAUUGGACAAUGGGCGCAAGCCUGAUCCAGCCAGGCCGCGUGUGUGAAGAAGGCCUUCGGGUUGUAAACUGCUUUUGUACAGAACGAAAAGGUUUCUAUUAAUACUAGGAGCUCAUGACGGUACUGUAAGAAUAAGCACCGGCUAACUACGUGCCAGCAGCCGCCGUAACAC